UACGGAGGGUCCAAGCGUUAUCCGGAAUCAUUGGGUUUAAAGGGUCCGUAGGCGGUUUUGUAAGUCAGUGGUGAAAGCCCAUCGCUCAACGGUGGAACGGCCAUUGAUACUGCUAGACUUGAAUUAUUAGGAAGUAACUAGAAUAUGUAGUGUAGCGGUGAAAUGCUUAGAGAUUACAUGGAAUACCAAUUGCGAAGGCAGGUUACUACUAAUGGAUUGACGCUGAUGGACGAAAGCGUGGGUAGCGAACAGG
rnacentral:rRNA from 1 species